rnacentral:rRNA from 1 species
AAUGCCGGAUGUUCCACAUGAUCGCAUGUGAUUGUGGGAAAGAUUCUAUCGGCGUGGGAUGGGGUCGCGUCCUAUCAGCUUGUUGGUGAGGUAACGGCUCACCAAGGCUUCGACGGGUAGCCGGCCUGAGAGGGCGACCGGCCACAUUGGGACUGAGAUACGGCCCAGACUCCUACGGGAGGCAGCAGUGGGGAAUAUUGCACAAUGGGCGCAAGCCUGAUGCAGCGACGCCGCGUGAGGGAUGGAGGCCUUCGGGUUGUAAACCUCUUUUGUUUGGGAGCAAGCCUUCGGGUGAGUGUACCUUUCGAAUAAGCGCCGGCUAACUACGUGCCAGCAGCCGCGGUAAUACGUAGGGCGCAAGCGUUAUCCGGAUUUAUUGGGCGUAAAGGGCUCGUAGGCGGCUCGUCGCGUCCGGUGUGAAAGUCCAUCGCUUAACGGUGGAUCUGCGCCGGGUACGGGCGGGCUGGAGUGCGGUAGGGGAGACUGGAAUUCCCGGUGUAACGGUGGAAUGUGUAGAUAUCGGA